ACUGCCACUCCCAGUCCGGCAUGUGUAUAUAAAGGUCGCUUUAGCCGUGGCACAGCACACUCUGUGGUUGACCGCCAACGAAGCAUCAAGCCGCUGCAGCCAAUACCUUCGAACAAAACGAGAUGAGAGCGUCAACCAUUAUUUCAGUGCUAGCACUGGUCCUAACCACGCAGUGCUUUGCUAAUGAAAAAAGAAUUCUACAAAAAGAAAUAACAGGCCGAAGAGCGCUUCAAGCUAACCGCCACAAUGGCAGCCAUGGAGCAAUUCCUCAAGAAAGGAAUUGCCAAGGGUCUCUUCAAAUUCAGAGAGACGACAGACUGACUUAACGACAAAAGAAAUGCAACCACAACCUCCUAGUUUAGCUGAGUUUAGAUUGUUACCAGAGUGUGUACAGAUAGACAUACACGUAUAUGUAUAUGUAUGUAUAUAUAUAUAUAUAUAUAUAUAUAUAUAUAUAUAUAUAUAUAUAUAUAUAUAUAUAUGUAUACUGUCUACUCUAUCCAUGUGAUCUUAUUAUUAUAAUUAUUCUAUUAUUUCUUAUGAUAACAUAUAUUAUCUAAUUCUGACUAAGGGUUAAAAUGUCCUAUAAGCUAUAUUGGUAUAUUGAAACUGUUUAAUCGUUAAAUUCACUAUAUGCUAAAUGUAUUUCAUAUCUGUAUUUAUUUGUCUUCAUCCCCUAACCUCAAUGAGAUCUUGCCAAAUGAGUUAUGACCGUGCCCUGAGAAGAGGCAUCACAAGUCUUCUAACAUAACUGCUCACUUGAACCUAGUAUUCCAAAAAUCAUUGUUUAUUCAAGCUUCAGCAGCCAUUGUGAUAUAAAAGAAAAUAAUCAAUUUGAAAUCAUUGAAAGAAUUUGAAAUAAGAAGUCCUGUAAGUAAUUAGAUGUCAGGAGAGAAUGAAAAAUGCUACACUCUAUUGAAGUAAAAGAUGAAUGGUA
rnacentral:misc_RNA from 1 species